rnacentral:rRNA from 1 species
AUUGAACGCUGGCGGCAUGCCUUACACAUGCAAGUCGAACGGUAACAGGUCUUCGGAUGCUGACGAGUGGCGAACGGGUGAGUAAUACAUCGGAACGUGCCUAGUAGUGGGGGAUAACUACUCGAAAGAGUGGCUAAUACCGCAUGAGAUCUAUGGAUGAAAGCAGGGGAUCGCAAGACCUUGUGCUACUAGAGCGGCCGAUGGCAGAUUAGGUAGUUGGUGGGAUAAAAGCUUACCAAGCCGACGAUCUGUAGCUGGUCUGAGAGGACGAUCAGCCACACUGGGACUGAGACACGGCCCAGACUCCUACGGGAGGCAGCAGUGGGGGAUUUUGGACAAUGGGCGCAAGCCUGAUCCAGCAAUGCCGCGUGCAGGAUGAAGGCCUUCGGGUUGUAAACUGCUUUUGUACGGAACGAAAAGCCCUGGGUUAAUACCCUGGGGUCAUGACGGUACCGUAAGAAUAAGCACCGGCUAACUACGUGCCAGCCGCCGCAGUAAGAC